UCCUCAUGGCCGGCCAGGGACACCUUUUCCUUCUUGAAGACGGAGGUCUCGAAGUCGAGCGACGGCAUGGCGGUGCCGAUGACCGACGGCGACGAGACCUUCGCAGCCACGGCGCGGCGGCGGUCCGCGGAGGCGGCGACGAGGCAUGGGUGCUGCGUGGCGGGGAAGGAGACGGAGGUGGCGGCUGUGGCUACGGAGGGGGCGGGGUUUAGGGUUUUGCGGCCGAUGGCGAGGUAGGUGGAAGAGGAAGUCGCCGCCGCCAUUUCAGAGGAGCAGAGGCUAGUGAAGAGUGAGGUGGCUGGAAAGAGAGGAUUUCCGGAGAUGCGUCCGUGAGCU
rnacentral:lncRNA from 1 species